UACAGAGGUCUCAAGCGUUGUUCGGAUUCAUUGGGCGUAAAGGGUGCGUAGGCGGCGUGGUAAGUCGGGUGUGAAAUCUCGGAGCUUAACUCCGAAACUGCAUUCGAUACUGCCGUGCUUGAGGACUGGGGAGGAGACUGGAAUUUACGGUGUAGCGGUGAAAUGCGUAGAUAUCGAAAGGAAGACCAGUGGCGAAGGCGGGUCUCUGGACAGUUCCUGACGCUGAGGCACGAAGGCCAGGGGAGCAAACGGG
rnacentral:rRNA from 1 species